GCAAACAUAGUUUCAAACCAAACAUUAGACUGUGAUCCUAAAAAUAGAAGUUAAACCCUUCUUGUUUGCC
rnacentral:tRNA from 2 species